rnacentral:rRNA from 1 species
CACGUAGGGUGCGAGCGUUGUCCGGAAUUAUUGGGCGUAAAGAGCUCGUAGGCGGUCUGUCGCGUCUGCUGUGAAAACUCGGGGCUUAACCCCGGGCCUGCAGUGGGUACGGGCAGACUAGAGUGCGGUAGGGGGAGACUGGAAUUCCUGGUGUAGCGGUGAAAUGCGCAGAUAUCAGGAGGAACACCGGUGGCGAAGGCGGGUCUCUGGGCCGUAACUGACGCUGAGGAGCGAAAGCAUGGGGAGCGAACAGG